GUUCCAUUAUCAAUGUAGUAUUCCAGAAAUUGUAAAACUGUUAAAGAUAAAUGGGGUUUUGUCAAUUACAAGUGCUUCAGUUGAGAGGUCAUUUUAUUGUUUGAAGAGGGUAAAAAAUUAUCUUAGAAAUACUAUGAGCCAAGGACGUUUUAGUUCUCUUUGCAGGAUUUCCAUUCACAAAGACAUACUGUCAGAGAAAGAAGACGCCAACACAUUGCAUGAUGAGGUAUUCAUAUAUGGCUGAUAGCAAGCUGAUGAUGUCUUACGUCCAUGGCAUGUGAGAAUUUUUCCGGGAACUUUUUAAUGCAGUCAAUGAUGAUUGUCAUUUCAGCACGACAAUUUCAUCACAACUUUUGAUAGUUGUUGAUGACAAAUCUGAGCCUUUUUCGGUUCUUUUGUCAAAGUUUCUUUACAAGAUGUACAUAGGUAUCUAUUUAUGUAUGUAGUGUU